UCAAGCAACAAAAAAAAGGAAAAGCACUCAAUCACACUGUUUCUGUAAAGUGUGCUUCACAAAACAGACAAUACACAUUUUGUACAACAGGAACAUUAGAAAAGCUCUGUUAGGGAGUUACAAUACAGACAGCAGUUAAUUCCUUAAAUGGGAAAACAAGUCUGUCUGUUGCUUAAAAUGCAAGUCUGAUCAGGAAUUAUCCUGCUGAUCCAUAUUUGGUCAGCAAAAACAUCACUACUACAUUUUCAGAAAAAAACAAACAUCAAGAUUUAUAGAGCAAAAAAGUGUUGAAAAAUAAAGUAAAUUAACAUAAGGUCAGGCUUUUUGGUAGUGUUUUUUCAAUUUAUAGUACUGUUCUGUCCCAUGAUUUUUCUAACAGGACUGGGCACUGCUUGUUAGAGAAGUCAGUACUGGCCCUGCCUCACUCUCCUCCUGUUGUGUCAUUAUUCCUUCUCUACUAACAAGAGCAAGUGGCUUCUUUUAAAUUGUCUUACAUUUACACCCUCCAUUUUAAUUCUGGACAGUAGCAGAAUCAAUGUGCUUUGGGCAGAGAUAUUAAUCUCCAGCUUCCAAUUUUCAGCUAAACAUGCCUAUUAUAAAAUAAGCCUUCCUUCAAAAACCUCUUUCACCCCCAGCAGCCACCAGUGCCAUCCCAGCUAAGUACCUAAAACUUCUGAAGAGGUGACACACUGGGUGUAAAUCUCUCUUCUGUACCACCCAGGCUUAUCUUUUUGGCUCAGUGUUGGCAAUUGGGACAUUCCAAUAUAUCACUAAUUAAAGAUUUUUACCUAAGGGGCUGUUGUUUUGCUACUGAGAAGGUUUUCACUUCUGAUUGCAAGAACUGUUUCCCUGGAGGGACUGGACAAUGACUACCUAAAACUUGCAUUCUGCAAAAAAAUACCUAAAAUUAUGUAAUCUGAUAUAGUUUCUGGGAGUCCUUUCUUUAAAUUCCCUUGUGUCAGCUAAGUUUAACACCUAUUUUAAAAGAAGCAUGAAAAUCAUAGUCCAAAUAGUAAGUUACUCUUCCUCCUGUCCCUUUGAACACUCUGUGAUAUAGAAGCAGAUCAGACAGUUGAAAAAUCGACUUUAUUCUUUUGAGGGUCUGUGCUGCAAUAUGCAAGAGUUCAGAGUAUAAGACAACACUUGAAAAAACAGGUGUUGAAGCAAAGGAGGUUAAGUGCCCAUUAACCUCCUUUCAGACAGAGGCUGGGAGUGAAAGUACUGGGGAGUUACUCACUGGUAACUGCACCCUCCUCCCACAGCCCAGCUAUCCAUUAAAAACAAGGCACUAAUGAAGGAACCCUUCACAGCUGUGUUCCCUUCACAGCUGCAAAACUCAGUUUACAAAGGAAACCUGAUCCCUUCAACAACUAAGAGGAUGACAAGACUCGUGUUGCCUGUAGAUCCAGUAUUGGAGACCUACAUUCAACAGCCUGGAAAAACCAAAGUGUAAACAAGGCUUUGAUUUGUCUUUUGGGAAACAAACACAAACAUAUGAAAGAAGUAUUUAAUGACAACUUCCUCCUGAAAAACAAUCUUGAGAAAUCAGUAAACUGGUAUAUUCAUCUGGGUUUUGUAGGUCAGGGGAAAAUACUUUGCCUGUAACAUCUGCCCUGAUUAUUUUACUUUUUUUUACUUAUUUCAGUAUACACACUUUAAAAGUAUGUUGGGAAAAAAAAUUAGAUAUAUUCCAGUAACUAGUUCCAGUUUUAUACAGAUCUAAUAAAAUUAUUGUGCCAGUCUGGCCCUCCCCUGUUAUUCAUUAUUCCUCAGAGCCCUGUGGUAAUGGCUUUAUCUCUGGUUACAUGAUGUUAUGUCUCCACUGC